UAACGUUAGCUUCUUGUUUCAUCUGGGGUCUAAUAAACAGUCUAGUUUGUAGCAAUGAAACAGACAACACCACUAUUCAACAAUGUUUUUAUUUAAAUACAACAUUAGAAAUUAUAACUUUUACACACCUGAUCAACGUGUCUUUCUGAAAUGUCUCUUUUAGAACAAAAAUGAAUAGAAAGACUGUGCCUGUCUCCUUAUCAACCUUAAGAUGAACUGCUAUAUCAAUUUUGGAUGCCUUUUCACCUAAUUGAAUUUCAAGCAAGCGAGGACAUUGCAGUUGUGCCAGUUGCCUGGUAUGAUGACGGGAUGGUGUACUGGCCCAGCUUUAAGAGCACUGAACGUGUGAAACGGGCAGCUGCUAAUGAGGAGAAGCAUGAGCCAAGCUGGCCAAGAUAUGACGUAAAGGUCGUCAGAACUUGUGACAACUACAAAAACGCCAUCAGGCUAAUGAAUCAAUAUCAGACCGGCUGCAACACCUCUGAGCUACAGUCUGGGGCAGAGCAGGAGGGUGAGCUGCCAGAGAAAUGAGUCAGGAAGCCAAUCCAUCAUUUUGGGGACUCUGAUGAGAGUGAAGAAGAGACAGAAAAUUGUGACUUAGCUUCUCUGAGGUUGCCACGACCUUCCAACUCGGCUGGUGUAUCAGUUGGAUCCUCAAGUCCAAACCAAUUACACUGGCAAACUCCACCAUCUCGCCGAGUGCCAGGCAGCAGAAUCACUACUCCUCAACUUGGAGGAAACUGUCUAGGGCCAUUGUUUGGCCCUGUAGCUCGCAGCAUACCAUUGGUUAACAGAUCACAACCAUUUAAUAGCAAUUUCUCUCCCUUAGCACCUGACCAUGGGGCCGGACCGCAACACCCUUCACCACCUCUACUCCCUGCACCUGUAUUUAACAUGAGGAGAGUUUCUCAAGGAACGGCAGUCCCUCCUCAACUCCCUCCACCCCCCGCACCAGCCCUCAACAUGAGGCGAACAGAGGAGCCCUCUUCAAGCCUGGCCUACAGACCAACAUGGCGAGGGGGAUGAAUGACCGAUACCAUUCCCUGCUCUGGAACCGUCAAAUGGCCCAGCUCGACAGAGAGUGAUUUCUUCUUUGGCCACCAUUGGAGGUCUCUGCUGCAACAUAUAGCUUGAAUGUUAAGUUGCUUUGGAUAAAAGCAUCUGCUAACUGAUGUAAUGUAAUGUUAACCAGGGCUGUAGUAGAGA